CCCAAAAGGAUGCAGAGUUGGCUUAUUUCCUCCUGAACAGCGAUUGAAUAUGGAGGACUUUGUUAAACUAAAGUUAACAGAAUGGCAACUUCUGGAGCUGAUUGACACUUUUGCAGAUUGUGCAGGACUUCAAGGUUCUUCAUAAAGAGGCAUCAGACUAAUGUUUGACCUGGAGGAGGUUCAGCGAGAAGCUUGUUCAUGCGGCCCAGCGGGGGGAGCUCCACGUGCAGACAGAGUCUUUGC